ACCGUAGUAAUACGGUAUCCCAUGCUGAAUACAUAGGCAUGUGGAGGCGAACCGAGUGAACUGAACCAUCUCAGUAACUCGAGGAAAAGAAAUCAACCGAGAUUCCGGAAGUAGUGGCGAGCGAAACCGGACCAGCCUGGAUGUUUUAGCGUAGUGAAUAGUCGAAUGGAAUGGAAAGUCCAGCCGUAGUAGGUGAUAGCCCUGUAGGCGAAAUUCAGUACGUGGAACUAAGCAUCGAACAAGUAGGGCGGGACACGUGAAAUCCUGUCUGAAUAUGGGGGGACCAUCCUCCAAGGCUAAAUACUCGUGAUCGACCGAUAGUGAACCAGUACCGUGAGGGAAAGGCGAAAAGAACCCCGGAAGGGGAGUGAAAUAGAUCCUGAAAUCGUAUGCAUACAAACAGUGGGAGCACCUUUGUGGUGUGACUGCGUACCUUUUGUAUAAUGGGUCAGCGACUUAUAUUCAGUGGCAAGCUUAACCGAAUAGGGGAGGCGUAGCGAAAGCGAGUCUUAAUAGGGCGAUUAGUCGCUGGGAAUAGACCCGAAACCAGGCGAUCUAUCCAUGGCCAGGUUGAAGGCACGGUAACACGAGCUGGAGGACCGAACCCACUAACGUUGAAAAGUUAGCGGAUGACCUGUGGAUCGGAGUGAAAGGCUAAUCAAGCUCGGAGAUAGCUGGUUCUCCUCGAAAGCUAUUUAGGUAGCGCCUCAUGUAUCACUGUAGGGGGUAGAGCACUGUUUCGGCUAGGGGGUCAUCCCGACUUACCAAACCGAUGCAAACUCCGAAUACCUACAAGUGCCGAGCAUGGGAGACACACGGCGGGUGCUAACGUCCGUCGUGAAAAGGGAAACAACCCAGACCGUCAGCUAAGGUCCCAAAGUUAUGGUUAAGUGGGAAACGAUGUGGGAAGGCUUAGACAGCUAGGAGGUUGGCUUAGAAGCAGCCAUCCUUUAAAGAAAGCGUAAUAGCUCACUGAUCGAGUCGUCCUGCGCGGAAGAUGUAACGGGGCUAAACCAUAGACCGAAGCUGCGGAUGUGUACUUUAGUACACAUGGUAGGAGAGCGUUCCGUAAGCCUGUGAAGGUGUUCCGU
rnacentral:ncRNA from 1 species